GGUGCUGCUAGGCCAAACCCCGAGGAAGGCUCUGGUGUUCAUGCAAGUUUAGUUUUUCCCUUUUCAGUCUCAUUUUUAGUGUGUGUUUUAUUGCUGGGUGGAAGCUGAUUGAUUGAUCUCUUCUUGGGACCAUGGGCUGCCUAGUCCCCAUUUUAAAAUGUCUGCUGUGAAAUAAAGUUUCUGAUCUUACUGUCUGUGACAGUGUUCCCUGACAUGUCACAACUUUGAUUAUUAUACUAAUAAUUAAAUAGACUAAAACUAAACAUUUUCAAACUGCUUGAAACUAAAUUAAAUUGUAUAAAGAAAAGUGAAAUAUAAAGAAACAUUUAUUAGAAAUUACAAAACUAUAAUAACACAAACUCAAACAUCCCCUCGUGUGUUUCUAUUAGGAGAAGAUAUUGAUUGAGCAUUCCAGGGUGGAUGUAAAAGGGAAUGCUUUCCUGUCAUCCGACUGGGAUGAUGACAAAAUGUUUCUCCCACUGAAAACGUGACGUCCACAUGAACAGAAUCGGCUUUUUGGGGAUUUCCUCACCUGGACGUUAAAGACAUUUACUGUGAUACAUUUGCUCAGACAGCUGAAGGAUGUGACUGAACAUGAAGUGCAAACAGGAAGAAGUACAACACUCUGCUUCAAUGAAGACCGGGUUAAAAUCCUGGCCUGACUGAGCUGUGUGCGUGUUGUAAUAACUAAGUUAAUACUGCUGUGAUAUGUUGAUCUGUGCCAAAUGCAAACCCCACCAGGUAUGAAGCACAAGUCCUCGAGCUGACCCAGCUACCACUAUGAGCUGUUUUAAUGCUGAUGAAUGUCAAGGACCUGCAGGCCUGAUGGGUGUGGUCCUGCUGGAGGACUGGCCACACCCGAAGCUCCUGCCACACACCUGUUGCUGAUCGGGGCUUGUCGGGGGAGCUAUUUAGGAGAGUGCUGGAGCUCCCACCGACGUGGGAUCAUUGCAUGAGACUCCACGAGAAGUGUGGAGCGCCAGACAGCAGCCAGCACGAGGAGUGCUGAGACACGAGAGCGGACAGCUCAAAGACACGGACUUUUCAGGGAAAGACACGACACGGGAGUCAGGGGAGAGCACGGGGAUUUAUUGUUGUUUGUUUCCAUACACUGUAAAUAAACGCACUGUUUACACACAGAGCUCCGCGCCUGGGUCCUCCUUCCCUACAUCCCUGGCAAACCGUGACGGAAUGAUCCCGCCAGACAUGGACCCAGCAGUCUCUGAGGAAAGGCUCAGGAGGGAGGUUAUGGACAGGGUUUACAGACUUUGUGAUUUAUGGUGGGAAAAGCCCGGAGAAGGGUUGCGUCGCGCCGUGGAGAGGCGGCUGCAGGAAACGCUUUUUAAAUUCCCCUGGCUGGUGGACUCCCUCAAUUCAGUCGUCCUGGACUUCCUACUCUCAACUCUCCACCUCCACUCUCCUACUCAGGCUGCUCACCGGCCCGGACAGCUGGUGGAUUCACAGCCUGACACGCCGGCCCCGACGUCUACACGGAAACGACGUUCACGCCGCCGGCGUUCCUCACCGCAGCCGAAUUCCCGGACGUCUCAAGAGCCGGCUGUCGUGAAUAAUACGGACAAUUUUUCAUUUCCCUCACCAUCUGUUUUUGUGUCUGCAGUGGAUGAUGACGCCGCUGACGCUGCUAUAAGACAGCCGUCAGCGCAGGCAGCAUCACCUCGGUCAGAGGUCUCCACACCACUCGCUGCUUCAUCAUCUCCAGCUGUAGCACUGUCGUCUCAUCCGCCUGCAGCCACCAUUCUGCCAUCUUCUUCACCACCUGCUACGUCGCCACCCGGACCUGCUCAGCCCGAACCGGAGGAGCUCGCGCUGCCUGAGCAGGAGUUCGGCGAGCCGGAGCAGAGCCAGUGCUGCCGCCGGAGCCAGCGCUGGAGCUCAGCGAGCCAGAGCAGGAGCUCGGCGAGCGGGAGGAGCCCGCGCCGCCAGCUGGGGCGGAGGUCAUCUCACAUAUCAAAGCAGUAUAUUAGUGAGUGUGUGAAUGGGUGGAUGACUGAGUGUGUAAAGCGCUUUGGGGUCCUUAGGGACUAGUAAAGCGCUAUACAAAUACAGACCAUUUACCAUAUCAAACCAGCAUAUUAAGCUUACAGCUCUUUUGUACAUAAAUCUAUUUAAUACUUCAAUUUUUUGUCUCCAUUUAUUUAUUCAUGCUAUUUGUAUUUUAUCUAUUUGUACAUAUUAACCAGCAUCUGUCUGUGGACAGCAGAGAAAGAAUUUCAUUGAAUAGAAAAAUGCUUUUCUUUGUACACAUGACAAUAAACGCUUUGAACUUGAACAUAAAUCCAAAUUCAAAAUCAAAGCAAUGAUGAGUGACAAGAUUCAAAAUUCAGUCAGCACAAAACACCAGGUCAUAGCCCAGAACAAAAACCUCAGCAGCAAAAAAAGAACCAGGAUGUGACAGCGGCGAUGUGUUGUUUAUUCACUUCUUUAAAAUACUCCAAAGUAACAUAAACAAGCUCAGUGCUGUUUGUGUUCCCUAUCUUUAAAAUGAAUAAAUAAAACUAAAUCCACAUUGCACAGAGUUGAUUGUACAUCAGAGGGACAGCUGCUGCUGAGCAGUCUGGAGACAAAGUUAGAGACGUGCAGAGGAGGGAGGGUGGAUAUACUGGACUAAGGGUGUGAAGAUGGAGCUGCCAGGCAGCAGGAAAACAGGAAAUCCUCAGAGAAGAUCCAUGGAUGUACGUGCAGAGGAGGCAGAUGAUCUGCUGUGAUAAAUCCUAACGGGCUUUUUGUCUCAUUAAUAACUGUCAGGAGGAGUAAGAUAUUUUUGCUGCUAUUUUUAUGAUCAUUAUUACUAUUCCAUUAAUUAUUAAUAUUGAUAUUGCAUUUAGAUGUUUGAACAUAUUGGCAC
ensembl:lncRNA